rnacentral:tRNA from 1 species
CGGGCUGUAGCGCAGCUUGGCUAGCGCGCGUGCUUUGGGUGCACGAGGUCGCGGGUUCGAGUCCCGCCAGCCCGA